rnacentral:tRNA from 4 species
GAAAUCGGUAGACGCUACGGACUUGAAAAUCCGUUGGCUUUAUUGACCGUGAGGGUUCAAGUCCCUCUACCCCCA